rnacentral:tRNA from 8 species
CGGGUUGUGGCGCAGCUUGGUAGCGCACCUCGUUCGGGACGAGGGGGUCGCAGGUUCAAAUCCUGUCAACCCGA